GUGGCAGUGGUGUAGUGGUAAGAAGCAUAGCUUGUAACCAAGAGGUUGCUGGUUCAGUUCCCUGCUGGGACA